rnacentral:lncRNA from 1 species
UUCCGGUGUGUGUGUGGGGGGGUGGGGGUGGUGAGGCAGGGUGGGGGCGGCAGAUUAGUAGCUUCUGUGGAGUAAUUCUUUCUUUCUUUAGCUUUUUGAGAUGGGGGUCUCACUAUGUUACCCAGGAAGGCCUUGAACUCCUGGGCUCAAGUGAUCCUCCCACUUCAGCCUCCUCAGUAGAAGAUUCCAGUAUUCUUAUCUUCACUGUUGAGUGCUUUUUCUUUUAAAAAUUGCAAAACAAACAACAAAUUACACCCUACUCCUAGUGGGGUAACCUCUGAUAUGGUUUGGUUGUGUCCCCACACAAAUCUCAUCUUGAAUUGUAUCUCCCAUAAUUCCCACGUGUUGUGGGAGGAACCCCAGUCAAACUCCCCACCUAGCACUGUCCCCAGUCCCCUGACUCAUCCCUGCAAGGGG